rnacentral:rRNA from 1 species
AUUGAACGCUGGCGGCAGGCUUAACACAUGCAAGUCGAGCGGAGAUGAGGUGCUUGCACCUUAUCUUAGCGGCGGACGGGUGAGUAAUGCUUAGGAAUCUGCCUAUUAGUGGGGGACAACAUUCCGAAAGGAAUGCUAAUACCGCAUACGUCCUACGGGAGAAAGCAGGGGAUCUUCGGACCUUGCGCUAAUAGAUGAGCCUAAGUCGGAUUAGCUAGUUGGUGGGGUAAAGGCCUACCAAGGCGACGAUCUGUAGCGGGUCUGAGAGGAUGAUCCGGCACACUGGGACUGAGACACGGCCCAGACUCCUACGGGAGGUAGCAGUGGGGAAUAUUGGACAAUGGGGGGAACCCUGAUCCAGCCAUGCCGCGUGUGUGAAGAAGGCCUUAUGGUUGUAAAGCACUUUGAGCGAGGAGGAGGCUACUGAGACUAAUACUUUUGGAUAGUGGACGUUACUCGCAGAAUAAGCACCGGCUAACUCUGUGCCAGCCGCCGCAGUAAAAC